GACGAACGCUGGCGGCGUGCCUAAUACAUGCAAGUAGAACGCUGAAGGAGGAGCUUGCUUCUCUGGAUGAGUUGCGAACGGGUGAGUAACGCGUAGGUAACCUGCCUGGUAGCGGGGGAUAACUAUUGGAAACGAUAGCUAAUACCGCAUAAGAGUAGAUGUUGCAUGACAUUUGCUUAAAAGGUGCAAUUGCAUCACUACCAGAUGGACCUGCGUUGUAUUAGCUAGUUGGUGGGGUAACGGCUCACCAAGGCGACGAUACAUAGCCGACCUGAGAGGGUGAUCGGCCACACUGGGACUGAGACACGGCCCAGACUCCUACGGGAGGCAGCAGUAGGGAAUCUUCGGCAAUGGACGGAAGUCUGACCGAGCAACGCCGCGUGAGUGAAGAAGGUUUUCGGAUCGUAAAGCUCUGUUGUAAGAGAAGAACGAGUGUGAGAGUGGAAAGUUCACACUGUGACGGUAUCUUACCAGAAAGGGACGGCUAACUACGUGCCAGCAGCCGCGGUAAUACGUAGGUGGCAAGCGUUAUCCGGAUUUAUUGGGCGUAAAGAGAGUGCAGGCGGUUUUCUAAGUCUGAUGUGAAAGCCUUCGGCUUAACCGGAGAAGUGCAUCGGAAACUGGAUAACUUGAGUGCAGAAGAGGGUAGUGGAACUCCAUGUGUAGCGGUGGAAUGCGUAGAUAUAUGGAAGAACACCACUGGCGAAGGCGGCUACCUGGUCUGCAACUGACGCUGAGACUCGAAAGCAUGGGUAGCGAACAGGAUUGAUACCCUUGUAGUCCAGGGCGAAUUCCACACUGGGAUAUCAGCUUAUCGAUACCGUCGACCUCAAGGGGGGCCCGGUACCCAGCUUUGUUCCUCUAAACGAAAGAUACAAAAAUACGCAUGC
rnacentral:rRNA from 1 species